rnacentral:rRNA from 1 species
UACAGAGGGGGCAGGCGUUGUUCGGAAUUACUGGGCGUAAAGGGCUCGUAGGCGGCCAACUAAGUCCGACGUGAAAUCCCCAGGCUUAACCUGGGAACUGCGUCGGAUACUGGAUGGCUUGAAUUCGGGAGAGGGAUGCAGAAUUCCAGGUGUAGCGGUGAAAUGCGUAGAUAUCUGGAGGAACACCGGUGGCGAAGGCGGCCCCCUGGUUGGAUACUGACGCUGAGACGCGAAAGCGUGGGGAGCAAACAGG